rnacentral:lncRNA from 1 species
GAAAGCAAGAAAGAAAGUGCACGUAACAACGCUUUGAUCAUGCACUAUACUUACUUUUUAAUGUUCCAUGUUCUGGUUCACCUGUCAAUAUCGAUAGAGGAGAAAGGAUGGAUUAAAAUACCAUGUCGAGCUAAUACAGAGAAAGGUGUGAAGUAUAGGAGAAUCAAUUGGUACAAGGUUGAAGGAGCUUCUGAUGUGCUGACUGGACUUGUUUCAAAGAAUUUGAUGAAAAACACCACCACACUCUAUAAGUUUGCCGCUCAUUCCUAUGAAAUUGGAGAGGACAACUCUUUGCUUAUUCCUGCUGUGACACAAAACGACUGUGGCACCUAUAGAUGCACAUUAUGGCCUCCACUGGGUCAUUAUAUUCAGGAAGUAAAUAUUGAGUAUUCUGAAGGUUGCAUAAAGCCUCAUGUGCAUGCAGUUGGCCAGGUAGAUGCUCUGCAUGCCAAUUAUGAUUUUAAAGUCCUUAUAGUUCCAUGCACUGUUUGGGCUUGUGCUGUUGUUAUCAUGUUUUUUACUCUGAAAGCAACUGUAAAAAACAAGAAAAGACUUGUGAAAUUGUAUGCAUUAUUUGAUGUCAAAAAGACUUUCUCUAGCUUAUAGUAAGAUGUAUGUUAAGUUUACCCUGCAUUACAAUUAAAUGUGAAAAAUGUAUUUUUUAGCUAAUACUCAAAAAAGUUCCAAUAAUAUAUUAACAUGAUUCUGUUUGUUCAAAAAGAAAUUGCAAUAAACAUUAGUGAACGAGUGCGUGAUUUCUGAUAGCUUCAUGGAUGGCUUCCUUCCAAGACUAGUUUUUUAUUUCUUUUUUUUAUUUUUAGAGACAACAACAGAAUAUGUCAAAUUCUAACAAGACACCCAAAUAAUAAAAUAAAAAGAAAAUAU